GCUGGGCGUGGUGGUGCGUGCCUGUAAUCCCAGCUACUCAGGAGGCUGAGGCAGGAGAAUCACUUGAACCCAGGAGGUAGAGGUUGUGGUGAGCUGAGAUCACUCCACUGCACUCCAGCCUGGGUGACAGAGCGAGACUCUGUCUCAA
rnacentral:sRNA from 1 species